GGAAUCCAAUGACGCAUCCUCACACAGAAAGCCAGUUGCCAAGUAUUCCUCCGCGCUUUUAAAAACUCUCAUUGGGCUACACAUUUCAUUGAAAAUGUAGUCCCAAGCCGUGUUAUAUCUACAAUAGGUGUAUACGUAAGGGAAAAGGCCUCUUGCUUUUCCGCGACCGAGCUAAUAAUAAAGUCUGCAGUCGGUUACCGCAAUAGAAUUUGGGAUGUAAGGGAUCGGGAAAUAGUCCCAGGACGCGGAGGAAUCUGUCGUCUGUAAAAGGGUUCUAACGAAGAUGUGAGGAUAUUACCCAACUGUGAAAAUUAUAUUCUUAUGGACAUCAAGGAGUUUUUACAUUUUACGUUCAUUUUUGUUGUUGGCAUAUAAAUUAAUUUCCAUAAAAUAUGGAAUUAUAAUCAAUCAUUUUAAGGAAUGUUCUAUGUGGGUGGGAACAAGAUGUCUGUGUGGUAAAUAUUCCAUUUUUUUAAGGUUAUAAUGACAACAAAUGAUGUAGGCUCAUGCCGAAUAUGUGGAAAUGAUAUAAUUUUGUAUAUUAGAAUUAAAUCAUAUAUUUAGAGA